UCCUGACCUUAUCUUACUGAGUUCGAUUGCAGAGAAUAAGUAAGUCGGUUCAUCCGGAGGCCACGUGGAUCAGGACUACUUCUUUGGAAGCCUAAGCAAUCUGUUAACACAGCCACUUUCUGCUUAAAGCUCCAUAUCUCUGCCUGUUUGAUUAUGUAAUGUUUUUUCCUCAGAUUUACAGAGGACGCAAGAAGGAUUUUUGCAUUUAGUGGAUUAUGCAAUCAGUUUCAUUUCUUAUGACCGCAUAGGAGUGAGGUUUAUCUGACUUCCAGUCUCCAUUUACUGGGCAGAGAGCUUUUGCAAGCUCCAAGAGUGGUGUAACUUUGACAUGGCGAUGGAAGAUUCAGUUCGAAAAGUGGUAUGGUAUCUUUUUAAUCGAUUCUAAAAUUUUAUGGAAUAAUUACUGACUCACUUUCCUCUUCUUCUUUUCCUUAAUAUUGAGCACAGUUGGUCCAAAUCUUGUGUUCAGUAGGAAAUCCAAGCUUGUGUUAUUAUUAAAUAACUUUCUCUGGGGCUGCAUACUGCAUUGUAUAAGUGAACGUAGGUUUGAUCUGUUGUGUGCUAUAUUUCAAAAUUUUUUGCUUAUUUUAUUAGGAUUUUUGCAUUUAGUGGAUUAUGCGAUCAGCUUCAUUUAUUAUAAUCGCAUAAGAUCAAGGUUAAUCUGACUUCUGUCUCCAUUUACUGGGCAAAGGGCUUUCGUAAGUUCUGAGAGUGGUGUUACUUUGGCAUGGCAAUAACUGAUUUGGUUCGGAAAGUGGUAUGGUAUCUUUUUAAUCGAUGCUAAAAUGUUAUGGAAUAAUUACUGACUCACCUUCCUCUUCCUCUUUUCUUUAAUAUUGAGCACAGUUGGUGCAAAGCUUGUGUUAAGUAGGAAAUCCAAGCUUGUGUUAUUAUUCAAUAACUUUAUCUAGGGAUGCAUACUGCAUUUUAUGAGUGGUUAUAUUUCAAAUAUGUCAAAACACUUCUUAAAUAUUGUUUGCUCAUUUAGGUUUGAUCUGUGUGCUAUAGGCGCUAGAGGAGCUGAAGCGCUUGUUUCCUGAAGUUUUCAAUGAUUUGUUUCAGCGGUUGGAAAGAAAGGUUAUUUAAAUUGCUCAAACAGUUCAUUCUAUCAAUUACGUUCCAUAACAUUUCUUAAACCAUUAUCUAAUUGAAACAGAUGAAUGAGAAACCGAAGCAUGUGAUUCCUCAAAUUUUAAAUCAAACUAACAAUAUCAUGCCUCAGCAAGCGAACGGGGUGAUUGCUCACAAUAGUCAGUUGCCAAGGUAGGACAUGUGAAACCCUAACUUUUGUGCAAUUAUGUUGAUUAUAAAGUAUUUACUGUAUCUCUGUAAAUCUUAAGAAAAAUGGACGGAGCCAUUGUCCAUAUAGGCAGUCACCUUGGUCGUUUUUAUUGUCCAAUUAAUUAGGGCUAACACCUGAAGCGACUGCCACAAGUAUUUGAAUCUCUUCGAAGACGAGAGAUGCAAACUGGUAGUCCGAGGUCCAAUUGGUUAACAAACCGUUAACGUGUGGUGGCAUAGGAGAAUUUUGUGCUUACUGUUUGUUAUUUAACUCGGGAGGGAUGCAAAUUCACUGCAGAUCCGUGCCUAUCGAAGACGUCCAGCCAGCAUCAGACUUGCAACUUGCCUUCACAAAGAAACUCUUACUUCCAAGAUUCAGCGAAGAUGCGAUCAAAGACGAGGGUCAUAAUCAUCUCCAAGUGUCACUCAUGGAAUUCAAACAUGGUCAGAGUUGUGUUUUUUCGCUUCACUCACCUACCGAAGUAGAAAUAGUGGUCCUCGAUGGAGGUUUCCCCAGAGAAAAUAGUCAGGACUGGAACACUGAUGACUUCAAUAGCAGCAUAUUAGAAAAAUGGGAGAAUAAGAGAUCAUUGCUUCUGGGAGAGAGCAAGGCUCAAUUACGUCAAGGCAUAGCUUCCUUUGGAACACUUAAGGUCACUGAUAACUCGAGUUGGGUAAGGACCGGGAAAUUUAGACUAGGAGUCAGAGUUUCUCCGGGCAGCUAUAAAGGACCAAGGAUUAAAGAAGCGAUAACAGAAAGUUUCCGGGUUUUAGACCAUCGAAGCAGAUGUAAGUCUAGUGUUUGUGCUUUGUUAGUGAUAGCUGUACUUUGUUAUUUUUGUAUAUCUGAUUUCUCCUUCAAGGAACAAGUAUUUGACAAUAUAUAUUCUCGCUUAGAAAACAUAGAAGCUAGAUAGCGAGUUUCAUAGUCUCUACAGUGCUUUAUCGAUCAACUGUUGCCUUUCUUUGUAUGCCUUCCAGUCAAUCAGAAGCCGCAUCCCCCAUCUCUUGAUCAUGAAGUAUGGAGGCUACUCAAUAUUAGCAGGCAUGGAGCAAUUCACAGGAGGCUGGAUGCUGCUGGAAUUAAGACCGUGCAUGAUUUCUUGAAGCUCUCGGUUGUUGCUCAGCAAUGCCUCCGAGAUGUACGUAAGCCAAAACUCAGGCAAUUCCAACCCUUCAAAAUUUUGAAUGUCUUAAUCGGUGCUCUAUGCAUUUACGAGACAUAAAUUUCUCUCGGUCAAUCAGAUUAUAAAGAUGUCAGACUAGAAGUGGGGAGAAACAAUAGGACAUGCAAAGAACUGCAAACUGGGAGACGAUUUAUACUUGUAAGGGUUAAGGCUGUCAACCCUCUCGUAGACAACAAACAAGCACCCAAAGAAACAAGACCUGUCGAAUCGACUUAACUGGAAACUCGCCUUAGUAAUGAGUCUUCUUGCGCCUUACCUUGGAACUUGAACCAAUGUAACUAACAGCUUCUUCUCGGCUUUCAGACCCGAUUGCUAGAGUCUUUCUACCCUUGCUGUUGCUGAUGUACCUCUUGCUCGAUUCAUCUAGCCUUCCUUCCUGAUCUGUGCCACAACUAAUUCUUAAAGAGGAGCUUAUGUAACUUAACUGGAAUCUGGAACUUCACUUUUAGAAUCGAUUCUAUCCUCCGCUUCUGAUCUUAUAGAUUCAACUGGAACUUCGUAACUCGUCUUAGCACUCGAAACAAGUCCUGUUUUCGACUACCUUGUUUGUGCGAGAGCUGUAGGGCCUGGAAGAGAAUGUCAAGCACGACUGACAACGUUAGGAGCGGAACUGAACUCGACUCGAAAGAAGCGUUUACAGCCUGAACUGAACCUUUACGUGGUCGACCUCGUGUUGGUAACUAAACCAAUUGUCCUUCCGGAGCUUGCCUUGGACUUGCAAUUUUGUCUAAUGCAGUGCGGUGUACUAAAGUGGAGUCUGCUGAGUCUUUAGAUGCGAAGUAUAGAUUCGGUGAUUGUGUUGUUGAUUCAAUUUGUUUUGUCGACUGUGGAGAGGUGAUAGCUUUAGGAGAGGAGAGAGAAUCUCUUUGUGUUUGAGUGUCGUCUACCAGAGAAUCAGCUGGAUGGAGAUCUAAACUUCAAGUAGAAUUCGAGGCAUAAGCAGGAUUGAAAGAAAGAUAUGAAAUAGGAACUAAAGCGGGGAUAAAUGUGUUGGGAAAAACUAUUAUAACGAAAUAAAUUUUUUUUCCUUAUCCUCAUUAAAAUAUUAAUUUAUUAUCAAAAAUAAAUAUUGAGUGUUCAGGAGAGGUUAUAGCUUUAAAAGAGGAGAGAGAAUCUUCGAGUUUGAGUGUUGUCUGCGAGAGAAUCAACUAGAUCUAGAUCUGAACUUCAAGUAGAAUUCGAGGCAUAAGCAGCAUUGAAAGUAAGAUAUCUAAAGCGGAAAGAAACAUAUUGAAAAAAAAUUAUUAUAGCAAAAUAAUUCUUUUCCCUCAUUAUGUAUCGAAUUGGGAUCCUCAUCAAAAUAUUAAUUUAUUAUCAAAAGUAAAUAUUAACCAGAACAGCAUACACGUUAGAACAAUGAAUUAAUCACAAAAUGAGACACCAAAAUUUUAUGUGAAAAUCUUAAUAUAAGAAAAAUCACGGAUCGUAGUUUACUUUAAAUCUUCACUAUCACCAAUAAUAACAAUGAGUUUAUAAUAAAUAUUUUCUAAAUAAUUAGAUGAUCAUAAUAAUAUCAAGAACAUAGAUCUUAGUUCAACAAUAACACAUCAUCAUCAUAUUUUAUAAAUAAAAAAAAUAGAUCUCACCAAAUGGGUAUAUCAAAAAAACAUUUCAGAGAGGACAACCUGUAGAUCGACACCAUUAGGAUUGUAGGACUCGUUACAAGGAUUCUCCACAUAAAAUUUGGAUCAAAAAUAAUAAAAUUUUACUAGUAACAAAAAUAUCAAAAAAUUUUAACCUUUUCUCUCCUAUUCAUUUUCUGUUCACCGCACCUUUCUCACGCCUCUCACCCUGCGCACGUUUCCCAUUCAUUUUUUUUUUAAUAAAUUAAAUUUGAGCUCAAUGUCAAAUCAAUCGAUCUAAGUCGACCUAUGAGCGGGACCCAACAAAACUGAGAGGUCGGGUGCCGGCAAGACGUUGUGUCGUCGGUGGUCAGUUCAAUUCCAGUUUCUUGUCCACGAAAGAAGAAGUCGUGCGGUAUCAAGCAACAGGGCUUUGAAGAAGGUAAGAAUCAACAAAGAAUAUUCAAACUGGAGUUAGUGAGCUCAGGCGAGAGCCAAGGCCGAGGUAAUCCCAUUCACACAAGACUCAGCGGGACGACUUUUUGACAAGUCGCGUUGGUGAGCUCAGCAAAAGACAUAGAUGAAACAAAAGAAAAGACAAAGAUGAAACUUCCAUUAGCGUUUCGGGAGUUCCAGCAGUAUCAGAUGAAGGAAUUGAUUCAGAAGAUAGAGUAGAUGAAGAUAAACAUUCCAUUCCUGGUUUGACUGUUUUACUCGGCGCUUACAGAGUCUUCGUCGGUGAGCGGACCUACAGUUAAAAGUAAAGUGAUUAUUUGAGUUGACCGUUCUUAAUUGUGAUUAAGGAGUUCGGUAGAGUAAUGCUUAGUUGUUUACUAACAAAUCUAUACCAAUUGCUACGUAGAUUCUAUACUUUUGCAACACUAUAUUCUCUUCUUCUUCUUCUUCUUCUUCUUCAGUUAACACUCUCUUCUCUUCUUCUUAAUCUAAUCUAUAACGUUGCAAAUGAAAACUUAGCAUGCAUUCUUCUCCGUUCGUAUUGCCGUGAAUAAGAAGAUAUCUACUUCCUAUUUAGGUUGCAGGGGAAGAAGAUGCCGAGAGCGUUGAACAGUAAAGGUUAACGGGGUUACCAUAUCUUUACUUUCAUCGAGAGGCACCGAAAUGAAAGAUGAGAGAUGGUCUGUGCACUAUCAUCGGAAUUUUCACAUAUGUUACCAGUGUAUUAUUUCCAAUAGGUUGGAGGGGAAGAAGAUAUCGAGAUCAUCGAAUAGUCAAGAUUAAACGGCGUAUGCAUAUCUUGCAUAUUUCAUCGAGUGGCACUGGCAUAUUUCAGAACCUGAUCUUUCAUCUUUCAUCAUGUGGCACUGGUAUGAAAGAUGAGAGAUGGUAUGUGUACCGGUAUCGAAAUUUCCAUACAAUGCUACUAGUGUUUUUCCCCGUUUCUUUUGGAGGGGAAGGAUGGGGAGAGCAAAGUUUCUACAGUCAAAGAUUGAUGGAGUGACCAUACAAUUUUUCCUCUAUAAAAAAAAUCAGAAACGCCCCCCCCCCCCCCCCCCCCCCACCAUGAAAUUUCUCUCAUCAGGAGACCUCACCCUCACCGAUGGCUAUAAAUUCCGCCGCCUCCUCGUUACCCUAGCGUACUUCUCCUCCCCUCUCCUGCUUGAAGCUCCAUAUCUCUGCCUGUUUGAUUAUGUAUGUUUUUUUUUUUAAUAUCAGAUUUACAGAGUACGCAAGGAGGUUUUUUUUUUUGCAUUUAGUGGAUUAUGCAAUCAGCUUCAUUAUUAUGAUUUAAUAAGAGUGAGGUUUAUCUGACUUCCGUCUCCAUUUACCGGGCAGAGAGAGAGAGAGAGAGAGAGCUUUUGCAAGCUCCGAGAGUGGUGUAACUUUGGCAUGGCGAUCGAAGAAGAUUCAGUUCGAAAACUGGUACGGUAUCUUUUUUUAAUCGAUGCUUAAAUUGCAUGGAAUAAUUACUGACUCACCUUCCUCUUCCUCUUUUCUUUAAUUUUGAGCACAGUUGGUGCAAAGCUUGCGUUCAGAUUGUGUUCAGCUUGUGCGAGAGGAGAUGAAGCGCUUGUUUCCUGAAUUUGUCAAUGAUUUGUAUCAGCGGUUGGAAAGAAAGGUUAUUUAAAUUGCUCAAACAGUUCAUUCUAUCAAUUACGUUCCAUAAUAUUUCUUCAAACAUUAUCUAAUUGACACAGAUGGAAGAGAAACUGGAGCAUGUGAUUCCCCAAAUUUUAAAUCGAUUUGAAAAUAUCAUGCACCAGCAAGCGAAUGGGGUGAUUGCUCAUAAUAGUCAGUUGCCAAGGUAGGACAUGUAAAAACCCUAACUUUUGUGCAAUCAUGUUGAUUAUAUAGUAUCUCUGUAAUUCUUAAGAAUUAUAUUGUCCAAUUAAUGUGAUGUUGUGCAAACAUGUAAAGCCCUAAUCUGGGCAGUCACCUUGGUCGUUUUUAUUGUCCAAUUAAUUAGGGCUAACACCUGAAGCGACUGCCACAAGUAUUUGAAUCUCUUCAAAGACAAAGAGGGAUGCAAACUGGUAGUCCGAGGUCCAAUUGGUUAACAGAUUGUUAGUGUCUGCUGGCACAGGAUAAUUUUGUGCUUACUGUUUGUUAUUUAACUCGUGAGGGACACAAUACACUUUCACUGCAGAUCCAUGCCUACGGAAGACGUCCAGCCAGCAUCAGACUUGCAACUUGCCUUCACAAAGAAACUCUUACUUCCAAGCUUCAGCGAAGAUGCGAUCAAAGACGAGGAUCAUAAUCAUCUCCAAGUGUCACUCGAGCAAUUCAAACAUGAUCAGAGGUGUGUUUUUCCGCUUCACUCACCUAUCGAAGUAGAAAUAGUGGUCCUCGAUGGAGGUUUCCCCAGAGAAAAAAGUCAGGACUGGAACACUGAUGAGUUCAAUAGCAGCAUAUUAGAAAAACGGGAGAAUAAGAGAUCAUUGCUUCUGGGAGAGAGCAAGGCUCCAUUAAGUCAAGGCAUAGCUUCCUUUGGAACACUUAAGCUCACUGAUAACUCGAGUCGGGUAAGGACCGGGAAAUUUAGACUAGGAGUCAGAGUUUCUCCGGGCAGCUAUAAAGGACCAAGGAUUAAAGAAGCGAUAACAGAAAGUUUCCUGGUUUUAGACCAUCGAAGCAAAUGUAAGUCUCAGUGUUUGUGUUUUGUUAGUGAUAGAUGUACUUUUGUUAUUUUUUGUAUAUCUGAUUUCUCCUGGAAGGAACAAGUAUUUGACCAUAUAUAUUCUCGCUUGGAAAACACAGAGGCUUUAUUGAUCAAUGGUUGCCUUUCUUUGUAUGCCUUCCAGUCAAUCAGAAGUCUCAUCCCCCAUCUCUUGAUCACGAAGUAUGGAGGCUAGUCAAUAUUGGCAGGAACGGAGCAUUUCAAAGGAGGCUGGAUGUUGCUGGAAUUAAGACCGUGCAAGAUUUCUUGAAGCUCUCGGUUGUCGAUCAGCAACACCUCCGAAAGGUACGUAAGCCAAAACUCAGGCAAUUAUUUUGAAUAUCUUAAUCGGUGCUCUAUGCAUUUAUGAGGCAUAAAUUUCUCUCUGUCAAUCAGACUAUAAAGAUGUCAGACAAGAAGUGGGAAGAAACAAUAGGACAUGCAAGGACCUGCAGACUGGGAGAUGAUUUAUACUUGUAUGAUAAACCUCCUUUCACUGUCAAGUUGAAUCCUAUUUGCGAAGUUGUUGAAGUCAGGAAGAACGGCGUGAGCAUCGCUCUUACACAGCUCGCUUCAGAAGAGACAGUAAGGAUGAUGGAUGCACCGACUUAGAAUCGAUUUAUUUGCCAUGAUUAGCAUGCUGGAAGAGAAUUAUUUAUGUGGGGGUCUAAAUUUUAUGCAGGUCCAGCAUGCUACUGAGGCAUACCAAAAUUGGAACCGGUUGGAGAGAGUUCCGGGGACGCCUUCUAUGAUUGGAGCACAAAAACAGAGUAGUAUAAACUACAUGUUUCUUGUCAGCAGCAGUGUACUCAUGUGCAUGUUCAUAGUUAGAUAACUAGCUAUAUACAUAUUAUUAAGAGAGCACAUCCUGAUCUGUUUUCCAGAUUCUAUCAAAAAAUGUGGACUAGAAUCCGAUGAACCAAGGUGUAGUAAUCCGCUAGAUGGGUCUCAGAGGGAGCUGUCCGCCGGCAAUGUGACUCCACCACUCGGAGCUUCUGUGUGUGUUCUUGAACAGCUUCCUUCACCGCAGAGAGUAAAUACAAACAACAUCUUGGGUACAUUAUAAGCUUGAACUGGUAUGACAUUAACUAAAUUAUAUGGUGCUCAAAUGCUAUGCAGGCCGGUGCAGAAAACCAAAACUGGAACCCAUCGGACUCCGAUGGAGGAACCAUGGAAGCGCAACAACAAAGUGGUAAACAUCCAUUAAUUUCUUUUUCUAAACAUGUUUUAGUUUGUGUGACUAGGGACAUUACUACAUUGAGAAAUUGCCCUUUAAAUUGUCAGAUCAUUUUGGCGACCUAGGUAGAUCAGCCGCAUUGUGGAGUCCCAGCUCGCAAUUGGCAUGGAGUCCAAACAUGUUUUGCGGCACCGGAGAAUCCCCAGGUGAAACAAUAAUAGGAGAUAUUUGGCAAUAGGAAAAGCUGACCUGUGGAUUAUGAUGUUAUUUGAUUUUGUACAAAUUUCCAGCGUCAAAACGUUAUAUGUUCUCACCGACGCUUCUCAUCAUUCAAUGAGUCGAUGAAUCCAUUACAGUAUUCACAUAACUCUGAUCGCGAAUAGCCACUAACAUAUAUUGCUUUGGGUUAGCGAUCGAUUUGAACAAGCAUCGCGGGAUUUGUUGAAAGAUUGUUGAUAGAAUAAAAAGAGAACUAAACUUUUGUAUAUAAAUAAAUACUAAGAUUUAUGUGAAAAAUUCUUCGAACGUAAAGGGUAAAAAUCACACGGUAAAUUAGAGGUAAUCUUAAGAAUAAUUAAUAUAGAAAUAUCAAUUUUUUUUUUCAAAAUUUAAAAUACAAGAAUUAUUUCACUGUGUAUAAUAUAUUGAAAAUAGUCUCUCUGUGUUGUUCUUGUCAGUCGUAAUCUCCCAACUAAUCGUUGUCACAAUUGAGUUUAAAAGAUCGAGAAAUCCAUCUAUCUUAUUGUUUUUCUUAGAUUGAUUGAUCCAUAUAAUAUAAUAAAAUAGAGCAACAACUCAAUAACUUCGUUGGAAAGGAUGCCAAGCAUCUUCAACAAGUAUACUCACGCAGCUCAUAUAAUGGCAUGGGAACGCUCCAAAUAGGCCUUCUUUUCUAGUGGCCCGAACUCGGCACCCAGCGCGAUCGAAAGCCUAGAAUUGAGAAGGGAACCCGAGGGGAGGCCGGCGUUGGUGCUCUCGGCUCCACCCAGCUCUGGACCGUGGCGUUCCGACGCACGCACCCUCGACUCCGACGUCAUACUGCCCCCCUGGCGGACGCAGACGUCUCUCUCCCUCGGAUCCGAUCCCGCCAUGCCCUAGGGGUUUCCAUCGGUCCACGACCUGCGCAACGUGAGACUCUGUCGCUCUCACACAUUUAGGUCACCAUCAGAACCUAUUCUUUCAUCUUUCAUCGAGUGGCACUGGCAUGAAAGAUGAGAGAUGGUUUGUGCAAUGGCAUCGUAACUUGUACAUAUGCUACCAUAUUCCUUUAGGCUGGAGGGGGAAGAAGAUGCAGAGCGUUGACGGGGAAGAGAUUGGUGUUCGUGGGCGACUCGCUGAACCGCAACAUGUGGGAAUCGCUGCUCUGCAUCCGGAGGCACCCUCUGAAGAGGAAGCACCGCGUUUUGGAGCUGUCCGGGAAGGAGGAGUUCGGAACCGACAAUUCGUGAGCUUUUCGAUUCGAAGCACGCAGCGCUACACCUCCUUCACGGAUAUCAUCCAUCUCCCCUUCUCUCUUUGUCGUCGGUGGUGGGUUUCGUUCAUGCACCUCCUGCUCACGAACCGCGCAGGACUACAACCGUUACAUAUGCUAACCAUAGUAUUUUUCCUCUAUGAAAAAGAAAAAACAGAGACACUCCUUCGCCAUUCGCAAGAGGUAACUUCUUCGUCGAUGAACCCCACAAUCAUCGUGAAAUUUCAUCAAGGAAGUAGAAAGAGCAUGAAGCUCUGCUGCGACGCUUCCUUGUAUGACUGUAGACUCAUCCUUUCUCCCUUCUCAUUACGUUUUGUUCUUCUCCUCCCCUCUUUCUUUCAUUCGAUUUGUCCUGACCUUAUCCUAUCGAGUUUGAUUGCAGAGAAUAAGUAAGUUGGAUCAUCCGGAGGCCACGCGGAUCAGGACUAGGCCUUCUUUGGAAGCCUAAGCAAUCUGUUAACACAACCACUUUCUGCUUAAAGCUCCAUAUCUCUGCCUGUUUGAUUAUGUAAUGUUUGUUCCUCAGAUUUACAGAGGACGAAAGAAGGAUUUUUGCAUUUAGUGGAUUAUGCAAUCAGUUUCAUUUAUUAUGACCGCAUAAGAUCGAGGUUUAUCUGACUUCCGUCUCCAUUUACUGGG
rnacentral:lncRNA from 1 species